GUGGGGAAUCUUCCGCAAUGGACGAAAGUCUGACGGAGCAACGCCGCGUGAGUGAAGAAGGUUUUCGGAUCGUAAAGCUCUUUCGUUAGGGACGAACGUGCUCUUUGUGAAUAAUGAGGAGUAAUGACGGUACCUAAAUAAGAAGCCACGGCUAACUACGUGCCAGCAGCCGCGGUAAUACGUAGGUGGCAAGCGUUGUCCGGAAUUAUUGGGCGUAAAGCGCGCGCAGGCGGGAUAUCAAGUCUGUCUUAAAAGUGCGAGGCUCAACCUCGUGAGGGGACAGAAACUGGUAUUCUUGAGUGUCGGAGAGGAAAGUGGAAUUCCAAGUGUAGCGGUGAAAUGCGUAGAGAUUUGGAAGAACACCAGUGGCGAAGGCGACUUUCUGGACGAUGUCUGACGCUGAGGCGCGAAAGCUAGGGGAGCAAACAGGAUUAGAAACCCGUGUAGUCC
rnacentral:rRNA from 1 species